AUGUGGAAAGAAUCACCAUCAAAAUCACAGGAAAAAACUUUCUAUGCAAUCUCUCUUCAACUUUCUCUAAGUUUUAUUUACAACUUCACUAAUCUUCGUCAUCAACUUCUGCAACUGUUUCAUUUAUUCAUCGUUUCUACAUCACACACAUCAACAACAACUUCGCAGCAACAUCAUCUUAAAUAA